rnacentral:rRNA from 1 species
UACGAAGGGGGCUAGCGUUGCUCGGAAUCACUGGGCGUAAAGCGCACGUAGGCGGCUUCUUAAGUCAGGGGUGAAAUCCAUGGACGCUCAACGUCCAGAACUGUCCUUUGAUACUGGGAGGCUCGAGUCCGGGGAGAGGUGGAGUGGAACUGCGAGUGUAGAGGUGAAAUUCGUAGAUAUUCGCAAGAACACCAGUGGCGAAGGCGGCUCACUGGCCCGGUACUGACGCUGAGGUGCGAAAGCG